rnacentral:rRNA from 1 species
GACAGAGGAUGCAAGCGUUAUCCGGAAUGAUUGGGCGUAAAGCGUCUGUAGGUGGCUUUUUAAGUUCGCCGUCAAAUCCCAGGGCUCAACCCUGGACAGGCGGUGGAAACUACCAAGCUAGAGUACGGUAGGGGCAGAGGGAAUUUCCGGUGGAGCGGUGAGAUGCGUAGAGAUCGGAAGGAACACCCACGGCGAAAGCACUCUGCUGGGCCGACACUGACACUGAGAGACGAAAGCUAGGGGAGCAAAUGGG